rnacentral:lncRNA from 1 species
UUUUUUUUUUUUUUUAGUAUUUUAGUAGAGGUGGGGUUUCACCGUGUUGCCUAGGCCGGUCUCAAACUCCUGAGCUCAGGCAAUACGCCCACCUUGGCUUCCCAGCAUUUAUUGUCUUUUAAAAAUCAUAGGCUUUCAGAGCUUUGAGAAAAGCUAAAUGCAUUCAUUAUCUAUUAUCUUAACAUGAGUAACCUGAGACUCAGAGGAAAUCCAAUGACUUACCCAAGAUAAACACAGUAAUAUGAGCCAAGACUAAAAUUUAGGACUCUUAGCUCUUUCUUUCUACACCAAUCGACUAGACAGUUAAAUUAUUAUGAAUAAUCAUAAUUUCUUACUUGCGUUUUCGGAGUUUAUAAUGCUGAAAAUCCCAGCUCAACAACGUUGCCUUUUCAACUCCUCAGGAGGGUAAACAACCCCACAAGUUGAUGGAGAACCCUGUCAAGUUCAUGAACUGGAGCCACAUCAGAGGAGUGAGCGCAGUGUGAGCUGUUCAUGCGCAUUUAGUCCCAGAACUCUGGGGAAACACGUUGAGUCCUUUGACACAUUUUUGCUCCUUGGUUUAUCAUUAUGUGCUCUUGGCCCAGUUACAGUGGAUAAUUCUUGAGGGCUAUUAUUAAGAUAUGAGCAAGGGAAAAAGAGAUGCGUAAGUUCUGAUUUUAGUAUAUAAUGUAGGCUAGAGGAGCAGAAAGAGUCUAAAUCAGCUCCAUAGGGCUUGGGGUCGAUGAUAUUAUGAUCAUUAACAUUUAUUGAGCUGCUACUAUUAACCAUCAAGCACUGGUGCAGAUGCUUUUCAUGUAGUACUUAAUUUAAUCCUCACAGCACCUCUAAGUGAUUCUCUCAGUCUAGUUUCCCUCAGAUGACUGUGAGACAAGUAUUCGAGUGAGUACAAGCAGUUUAUGUAAGUGAUGAUCUCAGGGAAUACUGGGAGGAGCAUAAGGAAGUGAGAUAGAGAAUGGAAAGAUGCCAAUAAAAGGUGCCUGAUGCAACAAAUUAUGACAUGGACAACUGGGGCUUACUCUGCUACACACGUGGUCAGAGCAGCUUCUGUAAAUUUAAAAGUAUUCUCAAGUUUAAAAAGUGCAUUUUAAAAAAUCUUGUCAAAUUUAGCUGGAUUUCAAUUGUGUAAAAAUGCUAGAGGUGACAAGGAACGCUCACAAGUUUUGUUCAGACUUGCCCAUUGUAGGAAUGGCCCUGACUUUUGCAUACAUCAAUCAGCUAUGUUGGAUCAUGUAUCUUUGCAUUGGCGAGACAGACAGGUGCUCCUUAACCUAGGUCACUAUUUAGUAAUCAUAUACUUCUUUCCUCUUGGGUAUCAUCUGGACUGCUAUGCAGGAAGGAGUACCAACAAAUCUUUCCCAGAAGUAAAACUGAAACAAAGAGCCAGUUGUUUCUUGGAAGUGAAUUUCAACGUGUGAUACCUGUUUGGCUCACUUUCCAAGGUAUGGGUGUUACACAUGUGAGGA